AUCCAGCUGACGAGUCCCAAAUAAAAUGAAACGUGCGUCAAACUGGAU
rfam:Schistosoma rodhaini strain Burundi genome assembly, scaffold: SROB_scaffold0002250